UUGGAGGGCAAGUCUGGUGCCAGCAGCCGCGGUAAUUCCAGCUCCAAUAGCGUAUAUUAAAGUUGUUGCAGUUAAAAAGCUCGUAGUUGAAUUUCGGGGUUAGUAGGUUGGUCAUGCCUCUGGUAUGUACUGGUCUCACUGAUUCCUCCUUCCUGAUGAUCCGUAAUGCCAUUUAUUUGGUGUUGCGGGGAAUUUGGACUGUUACUUUGAAAAAAUUAGAGUGUUUAAAGCAAGCUAACGCUUGAAUACAUUAGCAUGGAAUAAUGAAAUAGGACGUUCGAUCCUAUUUUGUUGGUUUCUAGGAUUGACGUAAUGAUUAAUAGGGAUAGUUGGGGGCAUUAGUAUUCAAUUGUCAGAGGUGAAAUUCUUGGAUUUAUUGAAGACUAACUACUGCGAAAGCAUUUGCCAAGGAUGUUUUCAUUAAUCAAGAACGAAAGUUAGGGGAUCGAAGACGAUCAGAUACCGUCGUAGUCUUAACCAUAAACUAUGCCGACUAGGGAUCGGAUGAUGUUAAUUUUUUAAUGACUCAUUCGGCGCCUUACGGGAAAC
rnacentral:rRNA from 1 species